rnacentral:rRNA from 1 species
UACGUAGGGUGCAAGCGUUGUCCGGAAUUAUUGGGCGUAAAGAGCUCGUAGGCGGUUUGUCGCGUCUGCUGUGAAAAUCCAGGGCUUAACCCUGGACCUGCAGUGGGUACGGGCAGACUGGAGUGCGGUAGGGGAGAUCGGAAUUCCUGGUGUAGCGGUGAAAUGCGCAGAUAUCAGGAGGAACACCGGUGGCGAAGGCGGUUCUCUGGGCAUUACCUGACGCUGAGGAGCGAAAGUGUGGGGAGCGAACAGG